UAGGGAAUAUUGGACAAUGGGGGCAACCCUGAUCCAGCCAUGCCGCGUGAGUGAAGAAGGCCCUCGGGUUGUAAAGCUCUUUUGUCCGGAAAGAAAAGCUUCGGGUUAAUACCCCGGGGUUCUGACGGUACCGGAAGAAUAAGCACCGGCUAACUUCGUGCCAGCAGCCGCGGUAAUACGAAGGGUGCAAGCGUUACUCGGAAUUACUGGGCGUAAAGCGUGCGUAGGUGGUUGUUUAAGUCUGAUGUGAAAGCCCUGGGCUCAACCUGGGAAUGGCAUUGGAAACUGGGCAGCUAGAGUGCGGUAGAGGGUAGUGGAAUUCCCGGUGUAGCAGUGAAAUGCGUAGAGAUCGGGAGGAACAUCUGUGGCGAAGGCGGUCCCCUGGGCCUGUACUGACGCUCAUGCACGAAAGCGUGGGGAGCAAACA
rnacentral:rRNA from 1 species